rnacentral:rRNA from 2 species
UGAGUAAUGUAUAGGAAUCUACCUAGUAGUACGGAAUAAUUGUUGGAAACGGCAACUAAUACCGUAUACGCCCUACGGGGGAAAAAUUUAUUGCUAUUAGAUGAGCCUAUAUUAGAUUAGUUAGUUGGUGAGGUAAAGGCUUACCAAGACAAUGAUCUAUAGCUGAUCUGAGAGGAUGAUCAGCCACACUGGAACUGAGAUACGGUCCAGACUCCUACGGGAGGCAGCAGUGGGGAAUAUUGGACAAUGGGCGAAAGCCUGAUCCAGCCAUGCCGCAUGAGUGAAGAAGGCCUUCGGGUUGUAAAGCUCUUUUAGUGAGGAAGAUAAUGACGGUACUCACAGAAGAAGUCCUGGCUAACUCCGUGCCAGCAGCCGCGGUAAUACGGAGAGGGCUAGCGUUAUUCGGAAUCAUUGGGCGUAAAGGGCGCGUAGGCGGGUUAGUAAGUUAAAAGUGAAAUCCCAAGGCUCAACCUUGGAACUGCUUUUAAAACUGCUAGUCUAGAGAUUGNNNAGGAUAGAGGAAUUCCUAGUGUAGAGAUGAAAUUCGUAAAUAUUAGGAGGAACACCAGUGGCGAA